rnacentral:rRNA from 1 species
ACGGGAGGCAGCAGUGGGGAAUAUUGGGCAAUGGGGGCAACCCUGACCCAGCAACGCCGCGUGAAGGAAGAAGGCUUUCGGGUUGUAAACUUCUUUGACGAGGGACGAUAAUGACGGUACCUCGAAAACAAGCCACGGCUAACUACGUGCCAGCAGCCGCGGUAAUACGUAGGUGGCAAGCGUUGUCCGGAUUUACUGGGUGUAAAGGGCGCGUAGGCGGGAUUGCAAGUCAGAUGUGAAAGCACGAGGCUCAACUUCGUGUCUGCAUUUGAAACUGACGUUCUUGAGUGUUGGAGAGGCUAACGGAACUCCUAGUGUAGCGGUGAAAUGCGUAGAUAUUAGGAAGAACACCAGUGGCGAAGGCGGUUAGCUGGACAAUAACUGACGCUGAGGCGCGAAAGCGUGGGUAGCAAACAGGAUUAGAUACCCUGGUA